rnacentral:rRNA from 1 species
UACGUAGGUGGCAAGCGUUAUCCGGAUUUAUUGGGCGUAAAGGGAACGCAGGCGGUCUUUUAAGUCUGAUGUGAAAGCCUUCGGCUUAACCGGAGUAGUGCAUUGGAAACUGGGAGACUUGAGUGCAGAAGAGGAGAGUGGAACUCCAUGUGUAGCGGUGAAAUGCGUAGAUAUAUGGAAGAAUACCAGUGGCGAAAGCGGCUCUCUGGUCUGUAACUGACGCUGAGGUUCGAAAGCGUGGGUAGCAAACAGG